UGAGUAAAUGAUGAGAGAUUUUUGAGUUUUGGGUGAGCCAACCCUUUUAAGCUAGGAAAUUUGUUAAAUUGGCCACGUCUUAAGUCUAUGCAUUGAAAAUAAGAGGGCACCUGCUUGUCUAAGAAAGUGAGUGGUGAUGGCGUAGUGGGCUAAAGCACAUAACUGGUAAUCAGAAGGUUGUUGGUUCGAUCCCCACAGUCACCACCAUUGUGUCCUUGAGCAAGGCACUUAAGUCCAGGUUGCUCUGGGGGAACUGUCCCUGUAAUAAGUGCACUGUAAGUUGCUAUGGAUAAAAGUGUCUGCCAAAUGUGUAAAUGUAAGAAAAGUAUUUCCAAGCAUUCAUUGAAUGUUGUGUCAGGUUACCGGUCCAACCUACUGUGUACACAGACAGCAGAAGUUCAUGAGUGAGAGCAAGACAUCAAACUCUUCUCUACAAUCCCAUUGUAACAUUGGGUUCCCUGCAAAAAUGGCAUCUAGCAGAAAGAGUGGUAUCCUUCUAAGCACAAUCUGUCCAAAAUUUCUUCAUACUAAUUCAACAAGUCUCCCUUGGCCAUUCAGUGCCAUAGCUGAGUUGAAUGGAAAGUUCUGGUUCAAGUCUGGGUGCAGUGUGACAGCUGCCUGAAGAGGUGGAGGCUUCCAGAUGGCAUCAGUGAGCUGCCCCAGAAAUGGUUCUGCCACAUGAACCACGAGUGAGAAGGGAAAGCAGCACCUUUUAAAAGUGUUCACAGAGUGCUUUAGAAAAGAUACUGUAUACAGAUUCACAUAUACUGUAUAAGGAGAUAAAAUAAAAUCAUAGACUUAGAAUAAAAUGCAUAAAAACAUAGACAUGAAAAGAAUAUGAAAUAAAAUUGCCCCAAUAAAUAGAAAUAAAAAGAAUAAAUGUAAACAAAGUAAAGGCCUCAAUAUACUUCUAGCAAAAUUGAAGAAUGAAUGGUUGUGAUGUAAUUUUAUAGAAACUCUGGCAAAAAAGUAGGUGUUUUUGAGUUCGUUGUGGUGGUUCGAAACAGCUUGCCAGCGCCAGCUCUUGGGAAAACUUCGUACCGGCUGCUAAACACAUUCUUACUACCAUUUUACUUAGUCAAGAUCAGUCAACUUAAACACACUGGUGUGCGGAGUUCACAUUCACACUUCUGUCCGAAGUGAGAUAUGCCUCUAAUCAUCAUUCUUUUGUCUGCAUUUUGCACAUUGACACAUGUCUGUUGCCCUUUUAUUCAUCAUCUUUGCCGAGGGAAACCGGUGCAUAUUACGACUACAUAUAGCAUCAUUAAUGCAGAAUGUAAACGUGACAAAAACAUUUAUUUACUGCAUAUACAGUUUAUACACAUACACUGUUAAAUUACUUUAAAUCGUCAUUGAGUGGUUAAAACAGCUUGCUUUACUGAUCGCAUGUGGAUUCUAAGAAUGAGUCGCAGAUAACACAUUUUAAUGUCACAUAAGUUAAGGUUUUACAUGUAGCCUUGUGCAUCUCAUAUUUAAAUACUCCUAAGUUGCACUGUGCCGAUUAUUUCUCAACAUUAUUGUAUGAAUAUUAUAUCAAUAUCAUAAUAUGAUAUUCAGAAUAUUCUGGAUUUGUUCAGGAGGAGGUAUACUAAGACUUUGCUUGAGGAGAAUGUUCCAGAGAUAAAUUAAUUGAAGAUUCAUCAAAAGCAAAGACUGUGGCUCUGAAAUUUAUGGCAAGCUGUCUACAGAUUGGACAAAACCCAACACUAUUAACAAAAUGAAAAGAUUUGUAUGAAGUGACCAGCCAACAACAACACAAAUAAAGUUUAGGAUGGAUAUUCUGACACUGAACUUUGAAAGAGUUAAAUGAAACUCAUCAACAUACACAUCACAUGAUGACAUAAUGAUACAUCGGUGGUAGGUCUGAUCACUGACAAUGAUGAAACAGCCUACAGAGAGGAGGUGCACACUCUAACACGCUGGUGUCAGGAGCACAACCUCUCCCUCAACGUCAGCAAGACAAAGGAGCUUGUGGUGGAUUUGAGGUGAAAAGACAGAGAACACAGUCCCAUCACCAUCAAUGGAGCACCGGUGAAGAGAGUCAGCAGCUUCAAGUUCCUGGGUGUCCACAUCACUGAGGAACUCACAUGGUCCGUCCACACUGAAGUCGUUGUGAAGAAGGCUCAUCAGCGCCUCUUCUUCCUGAGAUGGCUGAGGAAGUUUGGAAUGAACCGCCACAUCCUCACACGGUUCUACACCUGCACUGUAGAGAGCAUCCUGACUGGCUGCAUCACUGCCUGGUACGGCUACAGCACCGCCCUCAAACGCAGAGCCCUGCAAAGGGGGGUGUGAACUGCCAGACACAUCAUCAGAGGAUAAACAGACCCAAGACCUACCAACCAGCCAGGCACAACAUACUGUGUCCAGACAACCACCAGCACCUGUUCUGUCCGGACCAAACCUGUCUUUAGCUGAAAGGUCACCACUGCCCCUCAUUAACCCGACUGCAAUCUCCAGCUCUCUUAGAAGAGCAAAACAAAAGUUUUCUACCAUAGAAACACAGAAAGAGGUGACGCCAUCCUCUCAUGUCCCCUUUCCAACCCCAUCACGAGAGCUCUCCAUUCGGGCACACUACAGGCCUGAAGAGGAGAGAAAGACUCUCUCUCAAACAUACGUGAGCAAAGCUGAGAGCAGCAUGAUGGAGGGAUUUGAGUCGCAUCAGGGGCUCACAGCUGCAGAAGAGCUAUGUGAAGAAGAUGUAUCAUCUGGGACAGGAACGGAAUCCAGCUCGGCUGUGGAAGAGAUAAUUGAAUUUCCUCUGAAAAAUGAGACGAUGAAGUACUGCAUGAUGAAGAUGAAGAGAAAGAAGAAGAGGGAUGGAGCUUGGCAGAGGCGCAACAGUGGCAGAAUAAACUGGUGGAACUGAUGCAGAAAGCAGUAGAGGAAAGAGAUGCAUGCCAUGAGGAACUGGAACUGCUUAGUGCAUGGCGCCGCUCUAGAGGAUGAAAGGAACCAGCUCAUCAACAGGUUGGAGAGGGUAGAAGAGGAGAAAACCAGCCUUUCUGCCUUGCACGAUCAACUGAGGAGUGAACUAUCAGAGCUCAGGGAACAGAACAAGAGAGAAGAGAAAGACGAGAGCUCCAAGCUGUGGAAACUUUGAGUAAACCUGAAGUAAAACCGCCUGCUGCUGUCUUUUAGUCCUUCACUUCAUCUGGAGCAUCUGGACUACAACAGUGAUGUCACAGACAUGAUCCUCAAUCAAAAAUGAGCGCAACAGUCUGGUUACGGAAGUAAAAAUCCCAUUCAUUUCUUCCAUAGACUAAUUAAUUUUCAAUACUAACUUAUAAACCUUUAAAGACAAGACCUACCUUGAGCUCCGAGGUUGUUUAUCGAUGGUAUAUGCUUUAAUUGAAGCCAUUCCGUCUGCGUUGUUUCAACUGCAUUGUUUAAAAAUCAUCUAUAAUAGCAGAAUUCCUGUUAAACAACUACAUUACCCAUUGUCCAGCAGAGAAAGCUUCACCAAUCAGAGAACCGCGACCAACGGAGCCUGCAAAAUAAGACCGGAAGCAACCGCCCACUCCUAUGACGCACUCUAAAUUACACAAACGAGUCGAUCUCCCUGCACUCUCGAACUACUUAUAUUUUUAUGUUUAUCGGAAUGUUUCGCAAUAAACGUAGACUAUACUGUUUCUAUACUUAUAAUCAACAACCUACAAUCAAUAGUUUUAUAUUUCCCCAUUGUUUUUUAUUCAAUUACAUCAUUCGCAGUGAUUCAUGGAUUGUAGUUUGUACCCUCGUGAAAGACGUUAAGUACACAGUCUUGUACCUUUUAUCUUUUUGUCCGAUGUUCAAAUACGUUUUUGCCUCAAAACAAAGUUUGUGAUGUUGUGAUUCACUUCAGAGCUGGUUGGUUUGGUUCAUGGCUUAUAACUCUUUUAUGGAGGAUUUUAUUAAAUGCCUAUGGGGGAAAAAGAACGGGAAAAAUACUUCCAGAACCCAGACGCUGAAUAAGUGGGCAGGGCACUGUUGUGCUCUAUUGAGUGAAAUUAUUAGAUUUUACAUUCUACUGUGUCAUGUAAAAGAAGGCAUUUAUAUCAGAGGCUUUUGAAGCUGUUUUGUUUUUAAUCAUAUGUUACUAACCAGUGUUGGGUAAGUUACUCAAAAAAGUAAUCCACUACAGAGUACUAGUUAUUAAAAUUAAAUAACUAGCUCUAAAAUUGCAGUCAGAUUGACGAUUUCACUGAUUACUUCAUCGAAAAUAUAUUUACAGUGCUGAUCAAUUUAAAUGUACAUUCUAAAGACACUUUUCACAGAAAAGUUUUUGUUUUUCUGCUUAACAAAUUCAAAAUAAUGUCUACACUAUAUGGCCAAAAAUAUGUGGACACCCUCUUCUAAUUAAAGAGUUUGUUUACUCCGUUAAUACCAAUGAAGAUAAAUCAUAAUUCUACUCCAAACAAUGGCAUUCUAGGGCAUUCGGUUCUUCUAAGUCCAUAAAGAAAUGGUUUACUGUGUCAAAGCCCAGACCUGAACCCCACUGAACACCUUUGGGGUGAAUUGGAAUACCAACUGUAAGUCACGCCCCAUCGCCCAACAUCAGUGCCAGACCUCAGUGAUGCACUUGUGUCUGAAUGGGAGUAAACUCCUGCAGCCAUGUUACUACAUACAGUAUAGUGGAAAGCCUUCCCAGAAGAGUGGAAGUUGUUAUUGCACCAAAGGGGGAAAUUGAUGCCUAUGGUUUUGAAAUUGAAGGUUCAUCAAGCACAUAUGGUGUCUACAAACUUUUGGCCACAUAGUGUAUAUUUACUCCAUGUUCAUUGUCGCACGCAAGCCAUAUACUUGGCACCACACGUUUCUCACUCACAAUACAUCAGCUCUCACAGAAAUGCAAACAGACAUAUAGAAAUAUAAUUCAUGUUUUAACUGUAUUUUACAUCAAUAAUAUUAUUUUAGAAAUAUGUGUAACCAAUUUACUUAAAAGUAAUUUAUUGAAAGUCAGUAACUGUUAUCUGAUUACAAGAUGUUGAUGUGUUAUGCGUACUUCAUAAUUAGAUUACACCCAAUAGUGUUGCUAACAAGUUGCUAAAUAAAGACUACAGCAGUUGUCAGUUUUUCCAGGCAUAUUCAACACCUUAUUACCAACUUGUUAGCGACACAAUAAAAAAAAACUGUGGCUUCAAAAUUCACAUUUGAUGAUUGUGAGUAAAUUAUGUUGUAGAAAUGUAAAAGUCUCUUCAAGUAAAUUUGAUCACAGACCUUAUUUUACUCAUUUAAAACUGCUAUUAUAAAAACACACUGGAAAUUUCUGAAGGAACCCAUGGCUCAAAUUCUGAUUAUCUUUCUAGGACUUCAACCUGAACGGGGCUAGAAGAACAUUGGGGACAAAAUUAAGCUCACAACUAGAUGUGUUAA